UCCACAUUUGCAUGAUUUGUUUUGACUUCGAGCUUCCUUCAUCUGCUGCCUACGAGCUCUACUGUAGGAGUUCUUGAGUCGACGAUCCUGUUCUUCAUCGCACUCGUAUACCACCUUCUCACCGUCAUCUUCUCUCUCGCCCUGCGUUAACCGCCACUCCGACGCAGGGUUUCCCUCUCUAAAUAGCUGAUAAUCACGACAGCAGUCUCUCUUCCAAACUGUCUAAAAAUUCUCAAAUCGAUUUGAAACCCGUCUCUUAAAUUUCAUCGGAAACAACUGUCUCAAUCAUUACCCACUGCAGAGAAUCCAAUCUCCUCUUCCCAUUCUCUUCAUCGCCGGAAGUUAAGCCAUGAGACCACGGUUUUCACCCUUGUCCUGCAUCAUUACCCUCGUUUCGAUAAAGUAAUCAGUCAUCUUCUUAUUCCAUAUUCUCCGGAUUGGAUUUUUAAGCAAUUGGUGUGUUUUUAUUUCAUAUCCCCAUAAGCUUACUACUUGUUUGUAAAAAGUCCUUAAUGGGAAGUCCUAUAAAAUUGUCUCUAGAUUCUUGUGGGACUUCCUUAUUAACAGUAGCGGCAUUAAAAUGAACAAUCAAAUCAAAUCAAAUUAUUUGCCUUCUCUAAAAUCUUCUCAUAUACCCCCGAAUUCUUUCCAGAGCCUGUUGAAUAAUUUUUAUGGAUUCCUUCAUUUCACUGAUUCGGACUAAAUAACGAGCUAAUGAAUCGCCUUCUUUUUGCCACGGGACUUCCCAAUCAAAUUCGUUGUAACAUUCAUAAUGAUCAACUUUGCGAAGAUCCCACUGUAUUCCCGAAGCUCGUAGCAUUGGUCCUGAUAAACCCCAAUUUAUUGCUUCCUCUGCACUAAUAAUACCUAAACUUGGAUCGUUCAAAUUUCAUGUUCUUUUAAUGGUUUAUGGAGUUGAUUCAAAUUUGACAGUUGAAGUUAGAAUUAAUUGCUUAAGCAGUUUAAGGUGGGUUGGAAGGCAGCAGAGAAACUAGUUAAGCACUGGAAGAUACUCAGAGGAGACAAUGUGAUGGUAAUCAGGGGCAAGGAUAAAGGUGAGACGGGUCUUAUCAAGCGUGUCAUCCGCUCUCAAAAUCGCGUUAUUGUUGAUGAGAAGAAUCUGGAAUUUUUCAAGAGAGUCAUCCAUUGAUAAAUGUCUCCUACGGCAUUUAUAAACCACUAGCGCUAGAAGACAUGGCAUCCCACAUAAAGCUCUUGCUACAAGGUAUAGUGCUGCAAAGCAAAAACAGGAAGAGAAUUCAUGAAUGAUUUAUUAGCAACUGAGAUUUGAAGGUAACAGUGAUGCUUGUGCUGAAAGAAACGUCAAGAUAACUUACCAAGCAAAGAAGACACCGAAUUCUCUGUCAGAAAGAGAGGAACAAAAAUAAAGGAAUGAGCCUUGGAGAGAAGCUGAUAUUGUGGUAAAGAGGAAACUAUAAAAGCAAUUUCAAGGAUUCUCACCUCUUACUAAAACUGCAGAAAGCACUGUGAGAAAGCCUGUACAGUCCAUGGCAUUGAAAAGUCAGUUUAUAUACAUAUUAUGAAAACAGUUUUUGUACAUCCUAUGAGUACAAAAAGUAUAAGAAAUAUAGAAUUGAAAUCCAAAAUAUAGUAUAUGCAUCUGCGUGAGUGUUUAUUUAUGAUAUAAGAAACUAGCCCACAAUUGGAAGUUACCCGAAUAACUGUAGCAGUACACUAUAACGUAUGCAUAUGCCUGAGUGUUUAUGUUGUAAGAACCUAGCCACAAUUGGAAGUUACCUUCAU